ACUGCCUGAGAUUUUAAGUUUAUUUUUCCUGAGAUGAAAGCUGUUCCAGAAAGUCUCUCACUCUCAGCAAAUCCAAGACCAAGGCUGGGAGCCAUAAGAAUUAGCUGCAGGUGCUGAGGGUUUAGAAACUGCUGAAGGGACGAAAGACCAAGGUGUUGGCUCCAGACAGUGACUACAAGUCUUUGGAGUGACAAAAAACAUUGCUUGGACCCCUUGAAGAUCUGUGAUGAUAAAGAUCAUUCUUUUUACCUGUGUUAUUUAACAGGCUGAGGAACCCUUGAUUUGGGAACACAAGGAAUCUCCUCAGGAAACAAAAGUAUCCCAGAUGCUAGCACACCUGGUAACACAUCCAUAGAGCUGGCCUCUCACAGCAGCAUAGGUGUUUGUGUCACACUUUUCACAUGCUGCUGUUUGCCAACCCAGAGUGCUCUUGGAGAGUUGUGUCCCAGUGAAAAGAUUGGAAAUCCAAUAAUUCCUUGCACUACAGCUGGUGGGACUGCGGCCUUUCUGAUUUUUGUAGCAGCUUCCAGUUCAUGUGUGUGGAAGUGGCCAGGGCAGAGAAUGGGGUCCAUGCCACCCAGAAAUCCUCUUCCCUUGCAGUUUGGUGCUUCACUCAUGAGCCUGUUCAUAGCUCCAUGGGUUUUUAAAAGGAGAUUGGAAAGGUUUGAUGAAACAGAGAGAGAGAAACAGUUUGCAGAAGCACAAAAACAAAUCUACAGAAAUGUUGAUGGAGGUGACACAACUCAUCCCUUCACCUAAAGCCUGAAUGAUGCUUUGGAGGGUGUAGAAUUAAGAAGGCUAUAAAAUACCAUGAAGUGGCAGAGGAAAGAUUAUUCAAUUGGAAUGAAAAAAGGAAGAGGACAGGAGAGAAAGCCCACUGUAUGGA
ensembl:lncRNA